CAAAGGCUUGGUCCUGACUUUAACAUCAACUUUAGCUAUACUUACACAUGCAAGUAUCCGCACCCCUGUGAGAAUGCCCCCCAGUUCCCCGUCCGGGAACAAGGAGCUGGUAUCAGGCACACUUUGAAGCCCACGACGCCUUGCUUAGCCACACCCCCAAGGGAAUUCAGCAGUGACAAACAUUAAGCUAUAAGUGAAAACUUGACUUAGUUAAAGCUAAGAGGGCCGGUAAAACUCGUGCCAGCCACCGCGGUUAUACGAGAGGCCCAAGUUGAUGAACAUCGGCGUAAAGAGUGGUUAAGCUAAAAUUAAAACUAAAGCCGAACGUCCCCAAAGCUGUUAUACGCACCCGGGGGUAAGAAGUUCAACCACGAAGGUGGCUUUAUUAAACCUGAACCCACGAAAGCUACGGCACAAACUGGGAUUAGAUACCCCACUAUGCCUAGCCCUAAACAUUGAUAGAAUUUUACAACCUCUAUGCCGCCCGGGGACUACAAGCAUCAGCUUGAAACCCAAAGGACUUGGCGGUGCUUUAGAUCCACCUAGAGGAGCCUGUUCUAGAACCGAUAACCCCCGUUCAACCUCACCCCUCUUUGUUAAUACCGCCUAUAUACCACCGUCGUCAGCUUACCCUGUGAGGGACCAAUAGUAAGCUUAACUGGUACAACCCUAAACGUCAGGUCGAGGUGUAGCGUAUGGAGGGGGAAGAAAUGGGCUACAUUCGCUACAACAGCGAACACGAAUGAUGUCCUGAAACGUACAUCUGAAGGAGGAUUUAGCAGUAAGUAGAAAAUAGAGUGUUCUACUGAAAUUGGCCCUGAAGCGCGCACACAUCGCCCGUCACUCUCCCCAAGCCUAAUAAUACAAUUAACUAAAAACUAAUAAUUGCAAAGGGGAGGCAAGUCGUAACAUAGUAAGUGUACCGGAAGGUGCACUUGGAAAAG
rnacentral:ncRNA from 1 species